GGAGUUGUGGCUCAGUGGUAGAGCACUCACCUAGCAUGUGUGAAGCCCUAGGUUCUAUCCUUAGCACCA
rnacentral:tRNA from 2 species